GUUAGACAGAGUUUGAGUAGUGAGGCACAUCAAGUCAGUGAACUCUCUUAUCGAAGUAACUACCUGUAUGAUCAACUAACAUUAACCCGUGAAAGCUCACGCCUAAUCUACUUUAUCUUGCCUUACAAAGUAUGUCUAUAACCAUUAUGUCUCAUUAAGAAAAAAAAGUGCUGUUUAUCUAUGCCACAAAGUUUGACAUUGAAAAGCCUGUACUCGCU